rnacentral:pre_miRNA from 1 species
CAAAUCAAUUUGCAUCACGGCGCAUAUGUAGAACCCCGUUCAGUUGACUACAAUAGUAAGCCAAACGAAUGCAGCGUUGUGUGCCGCAAUGUACGUACAGCCA